UACGUAGGGGGCAAGCGUUGUCCGGAAUCAUUGGGCGUAAAGAGCGUGUAGGCGGCCAGAUAAGUCCGCUGUGAAAUCUCGAGGCUCAACUUCGAGCUGUCGGUGGAAACUGUCUGGCUAGAGUCCGGAAGAGGAGAAUGGAAUUCCUGCUGUAGCGGUGAAAUGCGCAGAUAUCGGGAGGAACACCAAUGGCGAAGGCAGCUCGCUGGGACGGUACUGACGCUGAGACGCGAAAGCGUGGGGAGCAAACAGG
rnacentral:rRNA from 1 species